GCCGAUGUAGCUCAGUGGUAGAGCACUCGAUUCGUAAUCGAGCGGUCGUCAGUUCAACUCUGAUCAUCGGCU
rnacentral:tRNA from 1 species